GUAGGACAGAUGAUCGCGGAUGAUGCCCCCUAAAGCAUCAUAUGAGGAAAGUCCGGGCUUCACAGGGCAGGAUGCCGGAUAACGUCCGGGAGGGGUGACCCUCGGAAAGUGCAACAGAAAUAUACCGCUGCCUCACGGCAGUAAGGGUGGAAAGGCGAGGUAAGAGCUCACCGCUCGGCUGGUAACAGACGAGGCUCUGUAAACCCCAUCCGAAGCAAGACCAAGCAGAGGCUAUAUGGCUGCCCGUCAUACCUCAGGUAGGUCGCUUGAGAUCUGCGGCAACGCAGACCCUAGAUAGAUGAUCAUCCAACGACAUAACCCGGCUUAUCGUUCUGCUU
rnacentral:RNase_P_RNA from 1 species